AUCCCGCUCGUCGGCGCCCCCCUAGGGGGCGCCGCCAGAGCCCUGGCGCAUGGCGUCCGGGUCCUGGAAGACGGCGUGAAUUAUGCAACAGGGAAUUUGCCCGGUUGCUCUUU
rfam:Hepacivirus hominis isolate P8_Baseline_Ivory_Coast polyprotein (POLY) gene, complete cds; and protein F-like (POLY) gene, complete sequence